AGCCUGGGUAACAAGAGCGAAACUCCGUCUCAAAAAAAAAGAAUCAUGUCAGAUGAAAUCAAUAUGAUACAAUCUGCGUUUGGCUAAUUUGCUGCACCAUCCUACCUUUUCUCCAUUUUAUAAAUACAGUAUUUUAUAGAAAAGAUCUGCUAAAAUCAGUUUUAAGAUCUGCUUUAUGAAUUGAUGUUAGACCAGAAGACAUCUGCUAAUGUUUCUAAAACUGUAUCUUGAAGCUAGCUUUUUUUAAGUCUCAUGAAAUAAAGACCUUCAUUCACUCCUCCUAGACUAUGGUGUUCUCAUGAUAGAGAAGAUCCAUUGUGUUUCUCGCUGUAGUAACACAACGAAACGGUGCUGACAGUUCGCGUGCACAUGACCCUGCUACCCAGGGCAUGGAGGCUCCAGCCUCCUCCUUUAGGCCCCACCCCACGGCAGCCUGUGUUGGUCUUGGUGUCCGACGAGUCCAGAAACCAUUCUGUUGCCCCUCAGGGCAGUAACCCAGGAUAGAAAGUGGGACUAAAGGAACCAGGCUGCCAGGAAGGUGAGGUUGGAGUGUGCUGAUAGGCCACGCGCGGGGAAGAAUGGGGAGACAGCAAGGACGGCUGGGACGUGCAGGUGUCGGAGGGAGAGGCGUGCCUGAGGGCAAUCCUUCCGAAUACUAAUGAGCGUUGUUAGCAAAGGCUCUGUAGGUCCCAGAUGUAUUCACCUGCAUGCCACACCGCUGAGAAGCCCCGCUCAAGUGGCCCUGUGGGAAGCAGCCACAGAGACCA